rnacentral:rRNA from 1 species
UACGGGGGGGGCAAGCGUUGUUCGGAAUUACUGGGCGUAAAGGGCUCGUAGGCGGCCAACUAAGUCGGAUGUGAAAUCCCCAAGCUUAACUUGGGAACUGCAUCCGAUACUGGAUGGCUUGAAUCCGGGAGAGGGAUGCAGAAUUCCAGGUGUAGCGGUGAAAUGCGUAGAUAUCGGGAGGAACACCAGUGGCGAAGGCGGCGACCUGGGCCAAUACUGACGCUGAGGUGCGAAAGCGUGGGGAGCAAACAGG